ensembl:lncRNA
GCCUGCCUCCCCCCGCAACCGCGUGCUCCCCGCCUUGGCCCAGUGCUGUGCGUGAGGGGAUCGGCCGUGCGCGUUGAUGACCACCCAUAGUCUGUCCAGACCAGAAGAAGAACCUUUUGGAAGAUGAGUGUGUUUGUGCAGUAGCCAUGGGUGAUCUUCCUGGCAUCACAGGGAUAGGCAUGUGGUGAAAGCUUCUAAGCAUGUGAAGAGUGUGUACUAGAAGGUGACGAAGUACUGACACCCCAGCUCUCCUGCAGUUUUAUGAGGAAGAAUUGUUAGAACCAGCCUGAAACCAGUGGCAAUGCAAGACUACUCCCUUAGAAACAAAAAGCUGUUAAGGACUUGGGAAUGUUAAGCCUUUAAAUGCUUACACUAACACGAGUUAUUUCUAACUGUAUUAGAACAGUGCUUAUGUAGACAUAAAAAAAAAAAAA